rnacentral:rRNA from 1 species
UACGAAGGGGGCUAGCGUUGCUCGGAAUCACUGGGCGUAAAGCGCACGUAGGCGGAUUGUUAAGUCAGGGGUGAAAUCCUGGAGCUCAACUCCAGAACUGCCUUUGAUACUGGCGAUCUUGAGUCCGGGAGAGGUGAGUGGAACUGCGAGUGUAGAGGUGAAAUUCGUAGAUAUUCGCAAGAACACCAGUGGCGAAGGCGGCUCACUGCCG